UGAUACUCCCAGGGUGCCAUCUUCUCCUGGUGAGUCCUCAUAAAGCCGGGAGCUGACAUUACUGUUGUACUCUCGCUCAUGCAUGAGAGUACAGCAUUGAGGUCUGUGGAGGAUCCCGCAAUAUCACGGGAUCCUCCAUAGACAGUCAAUUUUAUGUAUCGUUACUGGUGAUAGCUGGGGGAUUGACACUUCUAGACAGCGGUAGCUGCGCCCAGUGUCUAAAAUAAAGUCAUGCGUAGGAAAAAUACUCAAGACAAAGUAUUCCCUACUUUAUCUUAUGUUUUUUGUUAGAAAUAAAUGAAAAAAAG